rnacentral:misc_RNA from 1 species
AACGGAGGGUGCAAGCGUUAAUCGGAAUUACUGGGCGUAAAGCGCGCGUAGGCGGUUUAGUAAGUCGCAUGUGAAAGCCCCGGGCUUAACCUGGGAAUUGCAUGCGAUACUGGUUGACUAGAGUAUGUUAGAGGGAAGUGGAAUUCCGGGUGUAGCGGUGAAAUGCGUAGAUAUCCGGAGGAACACCAAUGGCGAAGGCAACUUCCUGGGACAAUACUGACGCUGAGGUGCGAAAGCGUGGGGAGCAAACAGG